rnacentral:lncRNA from 1 species
AGAAGGUACUGGCUUGUAAAGGUGUUGGGGUCGCUGAUGGGUUGGGACUCGGGAGACUUGCGGAACCUCCAGGAGCUGCCGCGUUUAGAGCAAAAGUUAGCUCUUUUGCUCUUUUCCAGCGCGCUUUCCCCGCUCAGCCGAAGAACCUAAGUUGUUGCCCACCCUCUCCUUCAAUCUCCAGAGGGUUUAGGUGUCGGCUGCGACGCGUUGACCACCCUCAGGGACUUCACGCUCCAGACAGAAUCCGUGUAAACUGUUUUUGCGGCGCUGAGCCAAAACCUAAAAGUGAUAGCUGAGCUCU